rnacentral:rRNA from 1 species
UACAGAGGGGGCAAGCGUUGUUCGGAAUUACUGGGCGUAAAGGGCGCGUAGGCGGCCCACUAAGUCGAACGUGAAAUCCCCGGGCUCAACCCGGGAACUGCGUCCGAUACUGGUGGGCUUGAAUCCGGGAGAGGGAUGCGGAAUUCCAGGUGUAGCGGUGAAAUGCGUAGAUAUUGGGAGGAACACCAGUGGCGAAGGCGGCUCACUGGACCGGAACUGACGCUGAGGCGCGAAAGCGUGGGGAGCAAACAGG